rnacentral:rRNA from 1 species
CCUACGGGUGGCUGCAGUGGGGAAUAUUGGACAAUGGGCGAAAGCCUGAUCCAGCCAUGCCGCGUGUGUGAAGAAGGCCUUCGGGUUGUAAAGCACUUUCAGUGGGGAAGAAAGCCUUGGGGCUAAUACCCUCGAGGAAGGACAUCACCCACAGAAGAAGCACCGGCUAACUCCGUGCCAGCAGCCGCGGUAAUACGGAGGGUGCGAGCGUUAAUCGGAAUUACUGGGCGUAAAGCGCGCGUAGGCGGUCUGAUAAGCCGGUUGUGAAAGCCCCGGGCUCAACCUGGGAACGGCAUCCGGAACUGUCAGGCUAGAGUGCAGGAGAGGAAGGUAGAAUUCCCGGUGUAGCGGUGAAAUGCGUAGAGAUCGGGAGGAAUACCAGUGGCGAAGGCGGCCUUCUGGACUGACACUGACGCUGAGGUGCGAAAGCGCGGGUAGCAAACAGGAUUAGAUACCCGAGUAGUC